rnacentral:rRNA from 1 species
UACGGGGGGGGGCAAGCGUUUGUUCGGAAUUACUGGGCGUAAAGGGCUCGUAGGCGGCCAACUAAGUCAGACGUGAAAUCCCUCGGCUUAACCGGGGGAACUGCGUCUGAUACUGGAUGGCUUGAGUUUGGGAGAGGGAUGCGGAAUUCCAGGUGUAGCGGUGAAAUGCGUAGAUAUCUGGAGGAACACCGGUGGCGAAGGCGGCAUCCUGGACCAACACUGACGCUGAGUGAGCGAAAGCCAGGGGAGCAAAGCGGG